rnacentral:rRNA from 1 species
UACGGAAGGGGGCUAGCGUUGCUCGGAAUCACUGGGCGUAAAGGGUGCGUAGGCGGGUCUUUAAGUCAGGGGUGAAAUCCUGGAGCUCAACUCCAGAACUGCCUUUGAUACUGAAGAUCUUGAGUCCGGGAGAGGUGAGUGGAACUGCGAGUGUAGAGGUGAAAUUCGUAGAUAUUCGCAAGAACACCAGUGGCGAAGGCGGCUCACUGGCCCGGUACUGACGCUGAGGCACGAAAGCGUGGGGAGCAAACAGG